ensembl:snoRNA C29F5.11 ncRNA
UCGAAACACCGAUGAUGAUGACGGGAUCCCAAUAUCUCGGAGAAAAUAAAGACAAUGAAAAGAUUUCGUAUAGAUUUGGAGGACA